AGUACAGGCGCGGGAGCGGACCGCGCGGAGCCCAUGGCGCUCUACGAGCUUUUCUCCCACCCGGUAGAGCGCGGCUACCGCGCGGGGCUCUGCUCCAAGGCCGCGCUGUUCCUGCUGCUGGCCGCUGUGCUCACCUACAUCCCGCCGCUGCUGGUGGCCUACCGGAGCCACGGGUUUUGGCUGAAGCGCAGCAGCUACGAGGAGCAGCCGACCGUGCGCUUCCUGCACCAGGUGCUGCUCGUGGCCCUGCUGCAACCCGAGCAGGGCGGGUUCCUCGCCUGGAGCACGUUUCCCGCUUUCAACCGGCUGCAGGGGGACCGGCUGCGCGUCCCGCUCGUCUCGACUCGAGAAGAAGACAGGAACCAGGAUGGAAAGACAGACGUGCUGUAUUUUAAACUGGAGCUUCCCCUGCAGGCCACAGAGCAGGUCCUCGGCGUGCAGCUCAUCCUGACCUUCUCUUACCAGCUGCACAGGAUGUCAACGUUCGUGAUGCAGAGCAUGGCCUUUGUCCAGUCCUCCUGCGCAGUUCCUGGGUCCCAGCUGUACGUGAACGGAGACCUGAGGCUGCAGCAGAAGCAGCCACUAAGCUACAGUGGCCUGGAUGUCCGGUACAACGUAUCUGUGAUCCAUGGGACCAGCCCUUUCGCCCAGGACUAUGACCUCACCCGCAUUGUGGCCGCCUACCAGGAAAGGAAUGUCACCACGGUCCUGAAUGACCCCAACCCCAUCUGGCUGGUGGGUCGGGCUGCAGAAGCUCCCUUUGUGCUGAACGCUGUCAUCCGAUACCCCGUGGAAGUCAUUUCUUAUCAGCCGGGAUUCUGGGAGAUGAUCAAGUUCGCCUGGGUCCAGUAUGUCAGCAUCCUGCUUGUCUUCCUCUGGGUGUUUGAAAGAAUCAAAGUAUUUGUGUUUCAGAAUCAAGUGGUGACCACCAUCCCUGUGACAGCCGUGUCCCAGGGAGACUUAUAUAAGGAGCACUUAUCCUGAGAAGACCAUUUCUGGAGAGUCUCUGCCCCAUGAGGAGAGCCAGGAUGCCCGUGGCCUUGUGUGGUUUCCCCUGGAGGCACAGCUCCUUCCGUGUUGCUCUGGGCCAAUUCUGUGUCUGCUAAGCACUGGACAAAACCAUUGGUUUGUGGGGAGGCCUGAGGGCUCCAAAGGCUAUAGCUUGCUGUUUUUGUGUGUUUGCUUGCCUUGCCCUUGAAUUUCAAGAGAACCUUCCAGUCAGUGCAAGCAUCUUGGAAAGAGUCCCAUUUCUGGUCAAGGAGAGCCCAUCGCUCUUUUGAACUGAAAGCACUAGGCAUCUAUCUCUUCUCUCUUUUGUAGUCCCCUUUGACUCCUUUCAGGCUCCUGAUGAUGAAUAUGCAAAUCUCUGGCACUUUCUACUCCCGGGAUCUACGGUUCCCAUUCAGAGCUUUGAUUUCCAGAAGGAGGCCUUCAGCUGGCAGGCGCAAGAGCAAGCCCUGUAAACCCAUGGGGUGGGGGCAGCACUGGGGCCAUCCACCUGCCCUCAGCCUGACAGCCGGUGUCUGUCGCCAGCCCAGCAGAACAGCCCUCAUGUCUUCCCCAUGUCUGUGCCCCUGGAGCAGCCGUGCUGUUUCCCUGAGCCCCUCACAGCAGUGGGUGGUGCAAGAGUUGUAACAACAGGUUCUUUCUCUGGCCCUCACCCAAAAGCUUGGACACUCACUGCCCCCCUCGGCUGCCCACUCCCUUCCUGAGAGGACGUGCAUGACAGAGGAGCCUUUGUUGGUGUUGGCUCCGCUGCCCAACAGCCCCAGCAUUUAUUUGGAGGGCUCGUGGGAAGCACAAAUCCUUGCGCUGCCCUUGACUGAGAACAGGUUGCCCAGUGCAGGGGCAUUUAUUUGGGGGCUGGUGGGGAGCAGGAGGGGCUGAAGAGGCUGCUGGGCUGGCUGGGCAUGCCGUCCUGCCUGGUCAUUAGAGGGAAGACAGCAGCCUGGCGGCCUUCCUGGUUGAGCUGGUGUCUGCAGGGUGGGGGCGGCUGGAAGGGGGCUUUGUCACAUGGAAGACAUUGGUUAUUCAGCCCAUUCCCACCAUGGGCUAGUGUGCAGCCUCCUCAAAGGCCAGAUGGGGCUGCUUUAAGGUCCCCAGGGUGUCAUCAGCACCAGAGAGACAUACCUCUGGACCCAGGCUUCCUGCCCACCUACAAACACUCGUCAGUGUGUGCCUCAGUUUACCUUGGGAAUGCUGUUAUUAGUUCUAGAGCAUCUUUUCUUUCAUGCUGAUCAAAAUAAGAGUUUUAUUUAUUUGUGUGUAUAGGGAUUGAACUCAGGCCCUU